rnacentral:rRNA from 1 species
UACGGAGGGUGCAAGCGUUAAUCGGAAUUACUGGGCGUAAAGCGUGCGCAGGCGGUUUGUUAAGUCCGUUGUGAAAGCCCCGAGCUCAACUUGGGAAUUGCAGUGGAUACUGGCGAGCUAGAGUGCGGUAGAGGAAGGUGGAAUUCCCGGUGUAGCGGUGAAAUGCGUAGAUAUGCGGAGGAACACCGAUGGCGAAGGCAAUCCCCUGGACCUGUACUGACGCUCAUGCACGAAAGCGUGGGGAGCAAACAGG